rnacentral:rRNA from 1 species
AGAGUUUGAUCCUGGCUCAGGACGAACGCUGGCGGCGUGCUUAACACAUGCAAGUCGAACGGAAAGGCCCUUCGGGGUACUCGAGUGGCGAACGGGUGAGUAACACGUGGGUGAUCUGCCCUGCACUUUGGGAUAAGCCUGGGAAACUGGGUCUAAUACCGAAUAGGACCACGCGCUUCAUGGUGUGUGGUGGAAAGCUUUUGCGGUGUGGGAUGGGCCCGCGGCCUAUCAGCUUGUUGGUGGGGUAAUGGCCUACCAAGGCGACGACGGGUAGCCGGCCUGAGAGGGUGACCGGCCACACUGGGAC